rnacentral:pre_miRNA from 1 species
AUUAUACUCCCUCCGUCCCAAAAUUCUUGUCUUAGAUUUAUCUAGAUACGGAUGUAUCUAAUACUAAAACGUAACUAGAUACAUCCAUAUUUAGACAAAUUUAAGACAAGAAUUUUGGGACGGAGGGAGUACAAU